rnacentral:rRNA from 1 species
UUUUUGGAGAGUUUGAUCCUGGCUCAGGACGAACGCUGGCGGCGUGCCUAAUACAUGCAAGUCGAGCGAACUUGAUGGGAGCUUGCUCCCUGAUAGUUAGCGGCGGACGGGUGAGUAACACGUGGGUAACCUGCCUGUAAGACUGGGAUAACUCCGGGAAACCGGGGCUAAUACCGGAUAACUUUUUUCUUCGCAUGAAGGGGAAUUGAAAGAUGGCUCCGGCUAUCACUUACAGAUGGACCCGCGGCGCAUUAGCUAGUUGGUGAGGUAACGGCUCACCAAGGCGACGAUGCGUAGCCGACUUGAGAGGGUGAUCGGCCACACUGGGACUGAGACACGGCCCAGACUCCUAC